rnacentral:lncRNA from 1 species
UAUCCUUCGCAAUCAAUUCCUCUGACCAUGGGCGGCCCACUACCAGACGGUUACAAACGUCGCCAUCAAUCCGUUGCCUCCUCCGCCUAUAAAAGGGGGACCCAGAUACGUUAUUCUCUAAGCUAAUUUUCUUAUCUCAAAACUCUGCUAAAUUCUCCAUUCGAGCACUCCAUUCUUGUUGAGGCAGAGAACUGACUUGAACGUCGGAGGGUCUUGCCGGAGCAACCCCACCUCCGGUUUAGACUUCCCUUGCAGGUCCCGGUGGCGACCGCGGCUUCCCCAACUCCAGCUUCUCC